AAUUGAAAAAAUUUGCUACUAAUUAAUAACUUCAAUUAUUUAUUUAUUUAUUUUGAAGAUAUAUUAUGAGUUGAAAUAAAGUAAGGAAAGAGAUUUGAAGAGGAAAAGCCAAAAACAGCAACCAAGAAUGAAUAGGGUGUCACAAAGGUCAACAAAUAAGAACUCUAUGUAUAUAGCUACAAGUUCCAACCUCUGGCAGUGAGUGAUGGACAAGAAGCCAGGGUUAAUUUCCUGAUUUGAUUGAAGCAAUUCAAUAUUUCAAUUCCCACCUCCAACAAUUCAAUUUCCCUACUAUUUAUGCAAACCCUUGAAUGUUGUGAUU
rnacentral:lncRNA from 1 species